UACGUAGGGUGCAAGCGUUGUCCGGAUUUAUUGGGCGUAAAGAGCUCGUAGGCGGUUUGUCGCGUCGGCCGUGAAAUCUCCACGCUUAACGUGGAGCGUGCGGUCGAUACGGGCGGGCUGGAGUUCGGUAGGGGAGACUGGAAUUCCUGGUGUAGCGGUGAAAUGCGCAGAUAUCAGGAGGAACACCGGUGGCGAAGGCGGGUCUCUGGGCCGAUACUGACGCUGAGGAGCGAAAGCGUGGGGAGCGAACAGG
rnacentral:rRNA from 1 species